AAUCAACGCUGGCGGCGUGCCUAACACAUGCAAGUCGAACGCGAAAGGCUCCUUCGGGGGCCGAGUAGAGUGGCGCACGGGUGAGUAACACGUAGGUAAUUUGCCUUUGGGUGGGGAAGUAACUCAGGGAAACUUGAGCUAAUACCGCAUAAUGCGGCGGCUCGACAUCGAGACAGUUGUUAAAGCGGGGGAUCGCAAGACCUCGCGCCUGAAGAGAAGCCUGCGGCAGAUUAGCUAGUUGGUAGGGUAAUGGCCUACCAAGGCGACGAUCUGUAACCGGCCUGAGAGGGCGGUCGGUCACACUGACACUGACAUACGGGUCAGACUCCUACGGGAGGCAGCAGUCGGGAAUUUUGGGCAAUGGGCGCAAAGCCUGACCCACGCAACGCCGCGUGAAGGAUGAAAUCCCUC
rnacentral:rRNA from 1 species